GGUUAAGCGACUAAGCGUACACGGUGGAUGCCCUGGCAGUCAGAGGCGAUGAAGGACGUGCUAAUCUGCGAUAAGCGUCGGUAAGGUGAUAUGAACCGUUAUAACCGGCGAUUUCCGAAUGGGGAAACCCAGUGUGUUUCGACACACUAUCAUUAACUGAAUCCAUAGGUUAAUGAGGCGAACCGGGGGAACUGAAACAUCUAAGUACCCCGAGGAAAAGAAAUCAACCGAGAUUCCCCCAGUAGCGGCGAGCGAACGGGGAGCAGCCCAGAGCCUGAAUCAGUGUGUGUGUUAGUGGAAGCGUCUGGAAAGGCGCGCGAUACAGGGUGACAGCCCCGUACACAAAAAUGCACAUGCUGUGAGCUCGAUGAGUAGGGCGGGACACGUGGUAUCCUGUCUGAAUAUGGGGGGACCAUCCUCCAAGGCUAAAUACUCCUGACUGACCGAUAGUGAACCAGUACCGUGAGGGAAAGGCGAAAAGAACCCCGGCGAGGGGAGUGAAAAAGAACCUGAAACCGUGUACGUACAAGCAGUGGGAGCACGCUUAGGCGUGUGACUGCGUACCUUUUGUAUAAUGGGUCAGCGACUUAUAUUCUGUAGCAAGGUUAACCGAAUAGGGGAGCCGAAGGGAAACCGAGUCUUAACUGGGCGUUAAGUUGCAGGGUAUAGACCCGAAACCCGGUGAUCUAGCCAUGGGCAGGUUGAAGGUUGGGUAACACUAACUGGAGGACCGAACCGACUAAUGUUGAAAAAUUAGCGGAUGACUUGUGGCUGGGGGUGAAAGGCCAAUCAAACCGGGAGAUAGCUGGUUCUCCCCGAAAGCUAUUUAGGUAGCGCCUCGUGAAUUCAUCUCCGGGGGUAGAGCACUGUUUCGGCAAGGGGGUCAUCCCGACUUACCAACCCGAUGCAAACUGCGAAUACCGGAGAAUGUUAUCACGGGAGACACACGGCGGGUGCUAACGUCCGUCGUGAAGAGGGAAACAACCCAGACCGCCAGCUAAGGUCCCAAAGUCAUGGUUAAGUGGGAAACGAUGUGGGAAGGCCCAGACAGCCAGGAUGUUGGCUUAGAAGCAGCCAUCAUUUAAAGAAAGCGUAAUAGCUCACUGGUCGAGUCGGCCUGCGCGGAAGAUGUAACGGGGCUAAACCAUGCACCGAAGCUGCGGCAGCGACGCUUAUGCGUUGUUGGGUAGGGGAGCGUUCUGUAAGCCUGUGAAGGUGUGCUGUGAGGCAUGCUGGAGGUAUCAGAAGUGCGAAUGCUGACAUAAGUAACGAUAAAGCGGGUGAAAAGCCCGCUCGCCGGAAGACCAAGGGUUCCUGUCCAACGUUAAUCGGGGCAGGGUGAGUCGACCCCUAAGGCGAGGCCGAAAGGCGUAGUCGAUGGGAAACAGGUUAAUAUUCCUGUACUUGGUGUUACUGCGAAGGGGGGACGGAGAAGGCUAUGUUGGCCGGGCGACGGUUGUCCCGGUUUAAGCGUGUAGGCUGGUUUUCCAGGCAAAUCCGGAAAAUCAAGGCUGAGGCGUGAUGACGAGGCACUACGGUGCUGAAGCAACAAAUGCCCUGCUUCCAGGAAAAGCCUCUAAGCAUCAGGUAACAUCAAAUCGUACCCCAAACCGACACAGGUGGUCAGGUAGAGAAUACCAAGGCGCUUGAGAGAACUCGGGUGAAGGAACUAGGCAAAAUGGUGCCGUAACUUCGGGAGAAGGCACGCUGAUAUGUAGGUGAAGCGACUUGCUCGUGGAGCUGAAAUCAGUCGAAGAUACCAGCUGGCUGCAACUGUUUAUUAAAAACACAGCACUGUGCAAACACGAAAGUGGACGUAUACGGUGUGACGCCUGCCCGGUGCCGGAAGGUUAAUUGAUGGGGUUAGCCGCAAGGCGAAGCUCUUGAUCGAAGCCCCGGUAAACGGCGGCCGUAACUAUAACGGUCCUAAGGUAGCGAAAUUCCUUGUCGGGUAAGUUCCGACCUGCACGAAUGGCGUAAUGAUGGCCAGGCUGUCUCCACCCGAGACUCAGUGAAAUUGAACUCGCUGUGAAGAUGCAGUGUACCCG
rnacentral:rRNA from 1 species